UACGAAGGGUGCAAGCGUUACUCGGAAUUACUGGGCGUAAAGCGUGCGUAGGUGGUGAGUUAAGUCUGAUGUGAAAUCCCCGGGCUCAACCUGGGAAUGGCAUUGGAUACUGGCUCGCUAGAGUGCGGUAGAGGGUGGUGGAAUUCCGCGUGUAGCAGUGAAAUGCGUAGAGAUGCGGAGGAACACCGAUGGCGAAGGCAGCCCCCUGGGCCAACACUGACGCUCAGGCACGAAAGCGUGGGGAGCAAACAGG
rnacentral:rRNA from 1 species